rnacentral:rRNA from 1 species
UACGUAGGGCGCAAGCGUUAUCCCGGAAUUAUUGGGCGUAAAGAGCUCGUAGGCGGUUUGUCGCGUCUGCCGUGAAAGUCCGGGGCUCAACUCCGGAUCUGCGGUGGGUACGGGCAGACUAGAGUGAUGUAGGGAGACUGGAAUUCCUGGUGUAGCGGUGAAAUGCGCAGAUAUCAGGAGGAACACCGAUGGCGAAGGCAGGUCUCUGGGCCACUACUGACGCUGAGAAGCGAAAGCAUGGGAGCGAACAGG